rnacentral:rRNA from 1 species
CUAAGAAUAUUCCGCAAUGGACGGAAGUCUGACGGAGCGACGCCGCGUGGAUGACGAAGGCCGAAAGGUUGUAAAGUUCUUUUGCUGGGGAAGAAUAACCGCAGGAGGGAAUGCCUGUGGGAUGACAAGAACCGGCGAAUAAGCCCCGGCCAACUACGUGCCAGCAGCCGCGGUAACACGUAGGGGGGCGAGCGUUGUUCGGAAUUACUGGGCGUAAAGGGCAUGUAGGCGGCUUGGAAAGCCUGGCGUGAAAGUCUGCAGCUUAACUGCAGGGGUGCGCUGGGAACUGCUGAGCUUGAGUGACGGAGAGGGAGCUGGAAUUCCUGGUGUAGGGGGUGAAAUCUGUAGAUAUCAGGAAGAACACCGAUGGCGAAGGCAAGCUCCUGGCCGAUGACUGACGCUGAGGUGCGAAAGUGUGGGGAUCAAACAGGAUUAGAUACCCUGGUAGUCCACACAGUCAACGAUGUGCACUAGGUGCUGGGGCGGUAGCUUCGGUGCCGGAGCGAACGUGGUGAAGUGCACCGCCUGAGGAGUAUGCUCGCAAGGGUGAAACUCAAGAAUUGACGGGGUCAUAGCU